GUGGAUCAAAGUUUGGUGAUGAUGUACUCUCAUGGUUGAUGCAAUAUGAUGACUUUCGUUUAAUUAUGUCUCAAUGCCUCAACAAUUUUAAUGAGAUGGUAUUUGAGAUUCCAAAAGUUCUUAAUCAAUGCCCAAAUCUGAAACAAUGAUUAAAAAAAAUUGUCCCUAAAACAUUUACCAAUUUAUCUUAUGUACUACUAUUGUUCAUGCUUCUACCUUUAUCUUGUUUAUAACUAGAUCUAAUGAGUUUGAUCGCACUAUUUGCAUGUAUCACAUAUAGAU
rnacentral:lncRNA from 1 species